GACGAACGCUGGCGGCGCGCUUAACACAUGCAAGUCGAGCGAAGCGGCGGACGGGUGAGUAACACGUGAGUAACCUGCCUUAGACAUUGGGAUAGCCUCGGGAACCCGGGAUUAAUACCAAAUGGUCUAAGAUGGACUCGCGUCCCAUUAGCUAGUUGGUGGGUAACGGCCCACCAAGGCGACGAUGGGUAGCCGGCGUGGGAGGGUGAACGGCCACAUUGGAGCUGAGAAUCGGUCCAGACGCUACGGGAGGCAGCAGUGGGGAAUAUUGCACAAUGGAGGGAACUCUGAUGGAGCGACGCCGCGAAAGCGAAGAAGGCUUUCGAGUAGUAGAGUUCUUUUAUAUGGGAAGCGGUACCAUAAGAAAAAGCCCCGGCUAACUACGUGCCAGCAGCCGCGGUAAUAC
rnacentral:rRNA from 1 species